UACGUAGGGUGCGAGCGUUAAUCGGAAUUACUGGGCGUAAAGCGUGCGUAGGCGGUUCGUUAAGUCUGUUGUGAAAGCCCCGGGCUCAACCUGGGAAUGGCAAUGGAUACUGGCGAGCUAGAGUGUGUCAGAGGAUGGUGGAAUUCCCGGUGUAGCGGUGGAAUGCGUAGAGAUCGGGAAGAACAUCAGUGGCGAAGGCGGCCUGCUGGGCUGUUGCUGACGCUGAGGCGCGACAGCGUGGGGAGCAAACAGG
rnacentral:rRNA from 1 species